rnacentral:rRNA from 1 species
GAUGAACGCUGACAGAAUGCUUAACACAUGCAAGUCUACCAAGAAUCACUUCGGUGAGGAAUGGUGGCGGACGGGUGAGUAACGCGUAAAUAAUCUGCCCUUUAGACUGGGAUAUCCUUUGGAAACGAAGGUUAAUACCGGAUAUUAUGAGAUGGACGCAUGUUCAACUUAUGAAAGCUAAAUGCUCUAGAGGAGGAGUUUGCGUCCCAUUAGCUAGUUGGUGAGGUAAAGGUCCACCAAGGCCACGAUGGGUAGCCGGCCUGAGAGGGUGAACAGCCACAAGGGAACUGAGAAACGAUCCUUACUCCUACUAGUGGCAGCAGUGGGGAAUAUUGGACAAUAUACCAAAAGUCUGAUCCAGGAAUUCUGGUUGCACGAUGAAGGUCGUCGGAUUGUAGAGUGCUUUCAGUAGGGAAGAAAAAAAUGACGGUACCUACAGAAGAAGCGACGGCUAAAUAUGUGCCAGCAGCCGCAGUAA